UGGACGAAAGUCUGACCGAGCGACGCCGCGUGUGGGAUGAAGGUCUUCGGAUUGUAAACCACUGUCGAGGGGGAUUAAGGGAAACUUGAAAGAACCCUGGAGGAAGGGGAGGCUAAGCUCGUGCCAGCAGCCGCGGUAAGACGAGCUCCCCAAACGUUAUUCGGUAUUACUGGGCUUAAAGAGUUCGUAGGCGGCGAAGUAGGUGAGGUGUGAAAGCCCUCGGCCCAACCGAGGAACUGCGCUUCAAACCACUUUGCUAGAGGGAGAUAGGGGUAAGCGGAACAGAUGGUGGAACGGUGAAAUGUAUUGAUAUCAUCUGGAACACCGGUGGCGAAAGCGGCUUACUGGGUCUUUUCUGACGCUGAGGAACGAAAGCUAGGGUAGCGAACGGGAUUAGAUACCCCGGUAGUCCUAGCCGUAAACGAUGAGCACUAGUCUGAGGGACUUUCACGGUUUCUCGGACGUAGCGAAAGUGUUAAGUGCUCCGCCUGGGGA
rnacentral:rRNA from 1 species